AACACACAAACCACAUCUUCUCACAACGCCGUCUCAAUCAGAUAUGACUUUGUCAGACCUUGAUAAUCCCACUCAAGAUUCCUAAUGGUGAAAAUACACACUCUCACAGUCGGGGCCCGGUAGCAGCAGCUAUGGAAACACACACUGCCAAUAAACCAACGCGAUAG